UGCAAGUCGAGCGAGAAAGGGGAGCAAUCCCUGAGUACAGCGGCGUACGGGUGAGUAACACGUGGGUAAUCUACCUUCUAGUGGGGGAUAACCCUGGGAAACCGGGGCUAAUACCGCAUAAGCCUGCAAAGGGAAAGCAGCAAUGCGCUGGAAGAGGAGCCCGCGGCCGAUUAGCUAGUUGGUGAGGUAACGGCCCACCAAGGCGAUGAUCGGUAGCCGGCCUGAGAGGGCACACGGCCACACUGGCACUGAAACACGGGCCAGACUCCUACGGGAGGCAGCAGUGGGGAAUCUUGCACAAUGGAGGCAACUCUGAUGCAGCGACGCCGCGUGAGCGAUGAAGCCCUUCGGGGUGUAAAGCUCUUUCGGCAGGGACGAUAAUGACGGUACCUGAAGAAGAAGCUGCGGCUAACUACGUGCCAGCAGCCGCGGUAAUACGUAGGCAGCGAGCGUUGUUCGGAAUUACUGGGCGUAAAGAGUGUGUAGGCGGUGCUCUAAGUUCGGUGUGAAAUCUCCCGGCUUAACUGGGAGGGUGCGCCGGAAACUGGAGUGCUCGAGCGUGGGAGAGGAAAGCGGAAUUCCUGGUGUAGCGGUGAAAUGCGUAGAUAUCAGGAGGAACACCUGCGGUGUAACGGCUUUCUGGACCAUUGCUGACGCUGAACACGAAAGCGUGGGUAGCAAACAGGAUUAGAUACCCUGGUAGACCACGCCCUAAACGAUGCAUACUUGGUGUCGGCCAUUCAGUUGGCGGUGCCGGACUAACGCGUUUAAGUAUGCCGCCUGGGGAGUACGG
rnacentral:rRNA from 1 species